rnacentral:rRNA from 1 species
ACGAACGCUGGCGGCACGCUUAACACAUGCAAGUCGAACGGUAACGGGUCUUUCGGGAUGCCGACGAGUGGCGAACGGGAGAGUAACGCGUGGAUACCUAUCCUAUGGUGGGGAAUAACGUUUAGAAAUGAACGCUAAUACCGCAUAAGCCCUUCGGGGGAAAGAUUUAUCGCCAUAGGAGGGGUCUGCGUCGGAUUAGCUAGUUGGUGGGGUAAAGGCCUACCAAGGCGACGAUCCGUAGCUGGUCUGAGAGGAUGAGCAGCCACACUGGGACUGGGACACGGCCCAGACUCCUACGGGAGGCAGCAGUGGGGAAUAUUGCGCAAUGGGGGAAACCCUGACGCAGCGAUGCCGCGUGGGUGAAGAAGGCCUUAGGGUUGUAAAGCCCUUUCAGUAGGAAAGAUGAUGACGGUACCUACAGAAGAAGCACCGGCUAACUCCGU